GCCAAGCCCAGGUGGUGUUGCAGCUCAGCCAGAGAUGGACUCUUACUAUGUUGCCCAAGCUGGUCUCAAGUUCCUGGGCUCAAGCAAUCCUCCCACCUCAGCCUCUCAAAGUACUUGGAUUACAGGAACGGCUACCAUGGGUGCUGGCACAAAGUAAGCAAGGUCUCAUUGUCCUCUGAAGCAACUGAUGUCUUUUUAAAGAAGAGGAAAUCUGGACAUAAAGAGAAUAACCACUAGAUAUGAAUACGGAGGAAAGAUCAUGUGAGGUCACAGUAAGAAAGUGGCCAACUGCAAGCCAAGAAGACUGGGAAGAAACAAAUCCUGCUGACACCUUGAUCUUGGACUUCCAGCCUCCAGAACUGUGAGAUAAUAAAUUUCUGUUGUUUAAGGCA
rnacentral:lncRNA from 13 species